AGUGAACGCUGGCGGUAGGCCUAACACAUGCAAGUCGAACGGCAGCACAGUAAGAGCUUGCUCUUACGGGUGGCGAGUGGCGGACGGGUGAGGAAUACAUCGGAAUCUACUUUUUCGUGGGGGAUAACGUAGGGAAACUUACGCUAAUACCGCAUACGACCUACGGGUGAAAGCAGGGGAUCUUCGGACCUUGCGCGAUUGAAUGAGCCGAUGUCGGAUUAGCUAGUUGGCGGGGUAAAGGCCCACCAAGGCGACGAUCCGUAGCUGGUCUGAGAGGAUGAUCAGCCACACUGGAACUGAGACACGGCCCAGACUCCUACGGGAGGCAGCAGUGGGGAAUAUCGGACAAUGGGCGCAAGCCUGAUCCAGCCAUACCGCGUGGGUGAAGAAGGCCUUCGGGUUGUAAAGCCCUUUUGUUGGGAAAGAAAAGCAGCAGGUUAAUACCCCGCUGUUCUGACGGUACCCAAAGAAUAAGCACCGGCUAACUUCGUG
rnacentral:rRNA from 1 species